rnacentral:rRNA from 1 species
UACAGAGGUCCCAAGCGUUGUUCGGAUUCACUGGGCGUAAAGGGUGCGUAGGUGGCCAGGUAAGUUUGAUGUGAAAGCUCGGAGCUUAACUCCGAAAUGGCAUUGAAUACUAUCUGGCUUGAGGGUCGGAGGGGAGACUGGAAUUCGUCGGUGUAGCAGUUGAAAUGCGUAGAUAUCGAGAGGAACACCAGUAGCGAAGGCGGCUCCCUGGGCCAUUCCUGACGCUGAGACGCGAAAGCGUGGGGAGCAAACAGG